rnacentral:rRNA from 1 species
GAUGAACGCUGGCGGCGUGCCUAAUACAUGCAAGUCGAGCGAACAGACGAGGAGCUUGCUCCUCUGACGUUAGCGGCGGACGGGUGAGUAACACGUGGAUAACCUACCUAUAAGACUGGGAUAACUUCGGGAAACCGGAGCUAAUACCGGAUAACAUGUUGAACCGCAUGGUUCAACAGUGAAAGACGGUCUUGCUGUCACUUAUAGAUGGAUCCGCGCCGCAUUAGCUAGUUGGUAAGGUAACGGCUUACCAAGGCAACGAUGCGUAGCCGACCUGAGAGGGUGAUCGGCCACACUGGAACUGAGACACGGUCCAGACUCCUACGGGAGGCAGCAGUAGGGAAUCUUCCGCAAUGGGCGAAAGCCUGACGGAGCAACGCCGCGUGAGUGAAGAAGGUCUUCGGAUCGUAAAACUCUGUUAUUAGGGAAGAACAAAUGUGUAAGUAACUCUGCACGUCUUGACGGUACCUAAUCAGAAAGCCACGGCUAACUACGUG